rnacentral:rRNA from 1 species
GACGGAGGGUGCGAGCGUUGUUCGGAUUGACUGGGCGUAAAGGGCGUGUAGGCGGUCGGCCAAGUCUGGUGUGAAAGCCCGGGGCUCAGCUCCGGAAGUGCGCCGGAAACUAGCUGGCUGGAGCGCGGUAGAGGAGGGUGGAAUUCCUGGUGUAGCGGUGAAAUGCGUAGAUAUCAGGAGGAACACCGGCGGCGAAGGCGGCCCUCUGGACCGUUGCUGACGCUGAGACGCGAAAGCGUGGGGAGCAAACAGG